UUUUUUUAAUAACAAAGUAUCCUAUGUUACUUCUAAUACCUUCAACAAUAUGUGUACAAAUUUUCAUGAUGCUUUCGCGUUGAAU